GACGAACGCUGGCGGCGUGCUUAACACAUGCAAGUCGAACGGAAAGGCCCUGCUUUUGUGGGGUGCUCGAGUGGCGAACGGGUGAGUAACACGUGAGUAUCCUGCCCUUGACUUUGGGAUAACUUCAGGAAACUGGGGCUCAUACCCGAUAGGAGCUCCUGCUGCAUGGUGUGGGUUGGAAAGUUUCGGCGGUUGGGGAUGGACUCGCGGCUUAUCAGCUUGUUGGUGGGGUAGUGGCUUACCAAGGCUUUGACGGGUAGCCGGCCUGAGAGGGUGACCGGCCACAUUGGGACUGAGAUACGGCCCAGACUCCUACGGGAGGCAGCAGUGGGGAAUAUUGCACAAUGGGCGGAAGCCUGAUGCAGCAACGCCGCGUGCGGGAUGACGGCCUUCGGGUUGUAAACCGCUUUCGCCUGUGACGAAGCGUGAGUGACGGUAAUGGGUAAAGAAGCACCGGCUAACUACGUG
rnacentral:rRNA from 1 species